AACCAUAUAACCGUAAAUAAAAUGUGCUGAGUGCGUCGUUAAAUAAAACAUUUCCGUCCUUUCGUCCAUCCUAUUUGAUGUUUGUAUUUAUGGGAUACAUUAUUUCUUUCCAUCAGUAUAUAACAACAAGUCCUUUCACAUCUCACCAAUUGUAGGCAUGGUUGUAUUUAAUGCGACAUUCAAAGUUAGGUGCACUUUGACCCGGUGAGAUGCUAUUUGGUACACUACCUAUCCUAUAGUUCUGGGUCCUGUUCCACAAAGCAAUCUUAGUCCUAAGAUCGCCUUAAGUGCAUAUAUUAGCUGUGCAGUUACGGUGAUCUUAGGGUUAAGAUCGCUUCGUGGAACGGGGCCCUGAACCACACAGGCCUGCUGGAAUUCAUUUCAAAAUGAACUGAGUUUGCUAUAGGAUAGUAGCAGUCACGACACUGUCAAAAUAUCCCUUUCACUCAGCCUUCUGCAGAGAUAUGAUUUUGACUGUGAAAACUAUGAUGUUAUCAUUCACGUUGAACCAUAUCAUCACUAACCCAAUAACCAUGCCAUUAGUUACAAACUGUAUCAUCACCGUUAUAAGCACACAGCCAGUUAAAUAACCAUAUUGUGUUUUAUAAUAUACACCUGGAAAUCAAUUACACACCACCUAGUUUCCAUCAUAGUUAAAACUUAAUUGUGACCACUAUGUUGAUAUAAAACAAUGAAGUGAACUUUCUGUGUAUACAGAACACAUUGAAAAAGACCGACAGCAAGUGACACAGUCUUUAAAUCAUUAUUUACUGUAUUAUAGAGAGAUAAAGACAGAAUGCAUGAAAAUGUAUAGUAACAAACUCCGCAGCUAAACUCACACUGAUAUCUGUCUCUUAAAGGGACAUAUUUUUCACUAUUAAAGCUGUUUUUGAUAAUUUAAAUUAGGAGUACUUACAUUUUAUUAUCUAGAACAUUCAUUUUCAUACACUUGAAGUGGUUCUGGUCAUACAGGUGUUUUUGUAAUAACCCAAAAUGCGUUUUUCAUAAUUCUAAGAAGUCUGAGAAGUAAUGGUUAUCAAGACAGGCUCUAGUCUAUUUUUGAACAAUAUUUUCAGGUUUAAACAUCACAAAUUUCAGCUUUUCUCUGUUUUAAUCUUAUCCAAAUGUUUUGCAGGUGUGAAGAUUAACUAAACUUACUGUCCAUUUUCACAGGCUAAAACAAGGGCCUGCACCUUUAAGUAAUUUAUGCUUGCCAUUUUGGUAAAUACCCUGUAGAUAUUAUGUAAAAUCUCAAAUAUGUUUUAAACUAAACUAGUAUGGAUAAUUUUAUCAAGGCACCUAUUUGGCAGCAAUUCAGUUUAGAUGGUGCGUAAUUAAGUUCCAAGUGUAUUACCAUUAUCAGCAUGGAUGUAAGCAAGGAAUAUGUGAUGUGUUAUCAGUUAAACAACUGUAUUAACACCAAUUUAUCAUUCAGCCCAUGGAAAUUAAGGAGAAAAGCUAUUGUUUCUGUUAUUUCAGCUACAUUAUACGAUGACCUAGAGGUCAAAGGAGAGAUUUUGCAAUGUAGCUAAUGCAGGUGACAUCACACGAGUGACGUCAAAAGUCAUAAUCUGCUACUAUACGUUUAUGACUUCGCUUUAUUCAUCAUCAUAAUCUGUCAAUAGAAACACUGGCUACAGGACAAAAUCAUAUGUUAAGAUUAAACUCAGAAUUUAAUAUCCAUGUGUAAAUAAGACGUCAUUAGUAAUCUGGCAUAACAUAUCAAUAACCAGGACCGUAACCUCCGGGGGUGGGUGGGGGUGCAGUUGCCCCCCCCCUCCCCCCCCUGAGAAUCUCUCUUUCUUUCUUUUCAGCUCCAGAAAAUAGCAUACACAUCUCAGUGUUUAAUUUGCAUAGUGUUUCAUUUGUUUAUGAAAAGUAGUGCCCCCCCCCUCUCCCCAGGAUUUUGAUCAGGGUACGGCCCUGAUAACAUAAGCAUACAUAAUAAAACUAUGCUGCAAUAAAAUGUUAGAAUAAAUAAUGUAUAAUUUCUGUGAAUUUUACAGUAUAUAAAUCAUGAUAUACAAGUAAAAGUCAUCCAAUUGAUAAAAUAAAACUGGAAAUAAUUUAAUUUUUUUCACAAUUUGUAAUAUCAGUUUUUUUUCACAUUUUUGUUUGUUUGUUCCUUUAAUUUAAUUUCAGUAACCUGACAAAUUUAUUAUGAAACCAGCUACCACUUCAUUAAAACAUGGGCACAAUUUUAAAAACUAAACCAAAGACACAAUAUUAAAAAUCAACACUGAACUCAAUUUUAAAUUUAAAAAAAAAAAAGGCAAGAAGACAAAUUUUUAAGAAAGAAAGAAAAAAGAAGAAAAAAAGAUAAGGAAAAUCUACCAACACACUCUUGAAUGAAAUAAAUAAGAGUAACAAUAAUAGAAAUGAUGAAUUAAAGGCUGGCUACAAUUAUCUAAAUUAUCAUGAGCCUACAAACAAUAUUAAAUGUAUGUCAGAAUUUAUUUAAAAACAAAGAAUGUUGACAAAACCAUUUUUUUUAAAUAUUAAAAAUGUAUGCACUCUUUUAGAUACAGAGAGGGAGGAGGAUAAAAAAAACCCAAAACAAACAAACAACAACAACAACCGAAAGAUAGUUUUGGUGGUUUGUAGUCUCAUGAAAAUGUUCAUAAAUGUAUAUUAGCGCUAAAAUGAGUAUUUGUUUUCUAAUCUAAUAAUAAAUUUGCUGUAAACAACACAAUGUAUAAAUAACAGAGACUAGCUCGGGUUGGCUUUCUGGUUACACAAAUCAGACCCCGACAGUUGGUAUACAACAGAGCUGGGAGGUACUCAAAUUUCAGGUUCAGUAUCGAAAUCGGUAUUUUGAGGGUGAUUUACCUUAGUAUCGGUACUGUAUUCGGUAUUGACACAAUACCAAUACCGAUAUCGAGCAGUAUUUUCGGUAUACUCUGCUUUAAAUGCAUGCCCGAGUUAAGGCUCACCCGCUAAUUUCAUAUUUUGCAUUGACACAAAAUAUAUAUGUCCAUCCACUCUUCUUUUCAGCCAUUUUACGUUCAUCAGAUACAUUUAUAUUGUCAGUGUUUUACUAAAUGGCGGGAAACAUUUUUCAAUACCGAAAUUUCAGUAUUUUGAGAUUUUCACAUUACGAUAAAUCGAUAUUAACAUGAUCGAUGCCGAUACAAAAAUGAUCUGUUACCAGCGAUCGUGGCACAAUCACAGUCUGAAGAAGACAAAUCAGUCGGUGACUGAUCUGUGUAAAUCACAAAGCUGACCUGAGCUAGCCUUUAAACAACACAACACAAUUUAUAUUUCAACAAUUCUGUCUGUAUACCAGGGAUUUUAUUCAUGAUUCACAAAAAUGCAAUUUUCCGAGAUUGCAACACAAGUUUAAAAUGGUAAACAGUAGUUGAUAAUUGAUUUUUAGUAAGUAACUGUCACUAAUUUUUUUUUUAAUUAAAAAAUGCCUUGUAUAUCAGGGGUAGAAAUUAAGAAAUAUUUCCACUGGUCUGGGCCCCAUUCCACGAAGUGAUCUUAGGGCUAAGAUCACCUUAAGUACAUAAGGUAGUGACACGCUUAAGGUGAUCUUAGGGCUAAGAUCACCAUAAGUACAUAAGGUAGUGACACGCUUAAGGUGAUCUUAGGGCUAAGAUCACCUCAAGUACAUAAGGUAGUGACACGCUUAAGGUGAUCUUAGGGCUAAGAUCACCUCAAGUACAUAAGGUAGUGACACGCUUAAGGUGAUCUUAGGGCUAAGAUCACCUCAAGUACAUAAGGUAGUGACACGCUUAAGGUGAUCUUAGGGCUAAGAUCACCGUAAGUACAUAAGGUAGUGACACGCUUAAGGUGAUCUUAGGGCUAAGAUCACCUUAAGUACAUAAGGUAGUGACACGCUUAAGGUGAUCUUAGGGCUAAGAUCACCUAAGUACAUAAGGUAGUGACACGCUUAAGGUGAUCUUAGGGCUAAGAUCACCUAAGUACAUAAGGUAGUGACACGCUUAAGGUGAUCUUAGGGCUAAGAUCACCUCAAGUACAUAAGGUAGUGACACGCUUAAGGUGAUCUUAGGGCCAAGAUCACCUCAAGUACAUAAGGUAGUGACACGCUUAAGGUGAUCUUAGUGCUAAUAUCGCUUCGUGGAACGGGGCCCUGGGGUCUAGAAGCCUUGAAAGGUUUAGUCCCCCCGAAAAAAUAACCAUUAAUAGUCCGUCUACUACUGGGACAUCCUGAGACGAUAUCACAAUCUAGCAAACUGUUAAGAAACACACAUGCAGUCAGCAUCUUAAAUUUGGCUCAUAUAUGCUCAGAAUUAUUAAAAUUGACCCAGGGGAUUAGCAUAAUUUAAACUGUACUCAUUCACAACGAUUUUCUACUUGCCUGAGUCAAGGGGGUGAGUGUUAGUUUCUCUCCUUUGGUAUACAGAGGAAUCGAGUAAUAAAAGCGCUCAUCACAAGAGAACACAUGAAUAGGAAAUAUUGCUGCAACAUGUAACAGGAUAAUCUGUAUGUGAAGAUUAAAAGUGAAAAUGUAUAAAAUAAAUAUUCCUAUAUACAAUAUAAACUAAAGGUUUCCCAGAAAGAUAUUCAAUAAUGAUCUGUUAGCAAAGGCUGGUUUUGUCAGUAGUGUAGACUCAUUCAAUAAAAAAAAACAAAAAACCCACAAGCCGCCAUACAUUCACACACACAAAUUAAAAUUGAUUCUUACACACCAUGCAAUAUUCAUGAUAUCACACAGCAAUAACAUAUACAUAUUUGAGAGAUCGCCACAGCCAUACCAUCCAGUGAAAUAAGCACAACUGAAACUGACUGCUCUGUGACAUGUAAGUUGAUCUGAAAGUGAUUGCACUGUGUAGCAUGAGCUAACCACAGUGAAAGUGUCACGUCAGCAAAAAUAGGUCAUAUCUAAAACCACGGGAUAUCUAAAUCAUUCAACUGUAAACAGCUCUGAAAUGUUUAAUGUGAUGGCUGACCAGUUUAAAUCACAACUCAAUCUUUAUUAAUGUAACAGGUUAAGGUUCCACUGUUUGACAGAGAGUUGUCUUUCCUUCCAUUUGGUGGGCGGGACAUACAUACAAUGGUAAAACACUCACUUGAUGCCCUGUCAGUCUAGGAUCGAUCCCUGUCAAUGGCCCCAUUGGGCUAUUUCUCAUUCCAGCCAGUGCACCAUGUCUGGUGUAGGA